CCGAGUUGUUGAUCUCGGCGAUAACGGCUGUUGCGGUCCAGUGGCGACGAGCGAUGACGUACGGCGCACGAAGGAAAGGCGCCUGUGCACAGCAGCGCAUGCGCCAACAGUUCAGAGUUGCGCUUAAAUUUUGCUAUAAGCGGCCGCCGAGAGACCCGCCCUUCAUUUUGCUUUUCACGCCACAGCCGCCCGUGUCAGCUAAACCGCUGCAUCGUAUCGUAUGUGCUCUGGCAGCGAUUGUCGACCACAUCACCGACCCCGAAACAGCCAUGGGUUCCGGCGCUGGCUUCUGCUCUAUGGCGUGCUUCGAAGCUUUAAGUCGCGGCUGCACCACUUACGGCCUGGACUUCUGCAGUUGCGGUUACGGGACUGUUUUGCUUCGGAAUUCUCGUACGGCCCAUUGGAGCUCCCGGAAUACGUAUGCGACGCGCGGUGGCCAUUGCAUCCUUUCGCACGCACGAGCUGUCGCGCCUGACGCCAACGACGCCGUUGCUGCCGACAAGUCUGAAGCCUGGCCUGUCGCGGUCUUUUGUGCGUGUGUUCCCUCGAACGAACUCACCCUGCCAUUUAACCGAGGGAGAACGAGGCAACUGUCGUCGGCACGUGCUUCAACUACCUUGUGAGGUGCAGCCCGUGCAACCAAGUGACCGUGGCACUGCCCUGAGGGACAACGCUGCAACUGUCGCCACAGCGUAGCUUCGGCAUCUAACCUCCGAGGUGGACGUGUUUAGCUUGCAAAGGCGGCGCGGCCAUUAACUUCAAAACUGAUUAACUGAUUAACUUCAAACUCAUCAAAACUGAUUGAUGACAUUGGCAAAUUAUGUGCAGUUAACUGUGGUGCUUAAUUAGGCACGAGCUUCCUUGGACGGCCGCAGCCACAUCGGGUCGUCGCCGUGACGGAAGCGGAGAGGACGGGGUGGGGCGUUUCUAGCUUCAGGCUUAGCUAACACUAGGCAGGAAUCUGACGCUGCGCAGGCCACAGCUGGCAGGGGUCCUCUCUCUGCGACACGGCCGUGCUAUCGCUUCCCUGCCACAAUUUCGCGCCCACGCGCGCGAAAUGUGGAAUCGCGGAAGUCGGUGGCAUCCGGAAUUAGUGUCUGGCUAACCAGUGGCGUAUUACUUCCAGUUCAUCUAGCUACGCUGAAGCACGGACGUUUUCUUUGGUCCGCGACGCGUUGCGGCCGAAUUACGUGGCCACUUUUUCUUUUCCACUGCCACGCUGUGUUUUUGUCGCGCGACGCGCGCAGCAUGUUUGACGUGUUCAUCUUCCACGGCUCGUGAGAUGACGCUUAUCAUGGUGAGUACCUACUUUCUGGUUAUAUUCCUAAUUUGAAAAGCUGCUUUUUUUUUUUUUAGUUUCAGGUACGCACCUCAGGUCUCCGCUUCCCCUCGUCCCGCCGCUGACCGUCUGUAUACUUCUGCUCCAGCCACACAGGUACUGGUUUCCUGGCCAAUGCAGAACCCUGCAUGCAGUACGUCAACUGCUCUCGGUCUGCAAUCCUUCUCUUGACAUCCUUGUCUUGAUUUGUUCCGCCUGCGUAGUCGGCCAUCACGCCCAGUGCUCACCGUAGUGUGGCAAGCCUUGCUCACGAGACGUACAGGUCGUCACAUUGCUACGCAUGCUGACGUUGAGCUGCAGGAAAAGUCCCUCUCUGCCUGCUCCGCGCUGCCUCGAUGACUCGUCACAACUACGGAGUCGUGACGCGAACACCGAUCACGACAUCCAUGUGGGAGUUCUUUCCGCCCGGUAGCUGUGUCAUGGCCGUUCGAUAAAGACUCGUAUUGAGGGUCGACCCCUUACUGUUUGACGACCGGACCAAAACAAUUCCAGGUAACAUGCUGGCUCAUCUGUGGUACACUGCUGUCAAUCUGGAGGUUGGUGCACGUUAACUCGCAUCCUGUGCUCUCGUAAUGAUACGCUGAUGCUGGUUCGCAUUGUGAAGUUGCGCGCGCGUAUGUGUUCGUGUGAGCAUGCGUAUGUAUGUAUGCGUGUGUUGGUGCAUGCAUGGUGUCUAUUUAUUGCACGCGCGUGCCACUUCGAUAACUUCAUCUGGUUGUUGGCAUAUUUUUAGCUGGUUGCGUUCUAACUUCUUCCAUGAAAUUAAUGGCGGCUGGCCGCGUCUCAUCUGUAAAUUCUUCAGAAAGCUCGUUGAUGGUUCCGCAAUGAUGGUCGCCAAUCUUUUCCGAAAUCAUUCGAACUUUGGCUCUGGGCGGUCUCCUUAAUUGAAAGGCGUCCAGUGGCCCUUGCCUCGUCAACUUUUCUUAUCCAAGCAGUCUCUGUUCGUACAUUUUCUGUCCAUAUCUUCCUUGUUUAUGAACUUGCUUCGCAUUAGCCAUGAUGAAUACAUUGAUA